CCUACGGGUGGCAGCAGUGAGGAAUAUUGGUCAAUGGGCGCGAGCCUGAACCAGCCAAGUAGCGUGAGGGAUGACUGCCCUACGGGUUGUAAACUUCUUUUAUAAAGGAAUACAGUGAGGCACGUGUGCCUUUUCGUCUGUACUUUAUGAAUAAGGAUCGGCUAACUCCGUGCCAGCAGCCGCGGUAAUACGGAGGAUCCGAGCGUUAUCCGGAUUUAUUGGGUUUAAAGGGAGCGUAGAUGAGUUGUUAUGUCAGUUGUGAAAGUUUGCGGCUCAACCGUAAAAUUGCAAUUGAUACUGGCAGUCGUGAGUACAGUUGAGGUAGGCGGAAUUCGAGGUGUAGCGGUGAAAUGCUUAGAGAUCACGAAGAACUCCGAUUGCGAAGGCAGCUUACUAAACUGCCACUGACAUUGAUGCGCGAAAGUGUGGGGAGCAAACAGGAUUAGAUACCCCUGUAGUC
rnacentral:rRNA from 1 species